AGAAGGUUGUCGGGAUUCUUGGGCGUAAGCGCGCGUAGGCGGCCGUGCAAGUCGGUUGUGAAAUCCCGGGGCUCAACUCCGGGACUGCGUCCGAUACUGCUCGGCUCGAGGUAGGUAGGGGAGAUCGGAAUUCCUGGUGUAGCGGUGAAAUGCGCAGAUAUCAGGAGGAACACCGGUGGCGAAGGCGGAUCUCUGGGCCUUACCUGACGCUGAGGCGCGAAAGCUAGGGGAGCGAACAGGAUUAGAUACCCUGGUAGUCCUAGCCGUAAACGUUGGGCGCUAGGUGUGGGCGGAUAUCGACCCCGUCCGUGCCGAAGCUAACGCAUUAAGCGCCCCGCCUGGGGAGUACGGCCGCAAGGCUAAAACUCAAAGGAAUUGACGGGGGCCCGCACAAGCGGCGGAGCAUGCGGCUUAAUUCGAUGCAACGCGAAGAACCUUACCUGGGCUUGACAUGCAGGGUGAAACCCGUGAAAGCGGGUGCUCUACGGAGCCUGCACAGGUGGUGCAUGGCUGUCGUCAGCUCGUGCCGUGAGGUGUUGCCUUAAGUGGCGCAACGAGCGCAACCCCUGUCCCUAGUUGCCAGCGGGUCAUGCCGGGGACUCUAGGGAGACUGCCGGUGCCAAACCGGAGGAAGGUGGGGAUGAGGUCAAGUCAUCAUGCCCCUUAUGUCCAGGGCUGCACGCAUGCUACAAUGCGCGGUACAAAGGGCUGCGAUCCCGCAAGGGGGAGCGAAUCCCAAAAAGCCGCGCUCAGUUCGGAUCGGGGUCUGCAACCCGACCCCGUGAAGUCGGAGUCGCUAGUAAUCGCAGAUCAGCAAUGCUGCGGUGAAUACGUUCCCGGGCCUUGUACACACCGCCCGUCACACCACGAAAGUGGGCAACACCCGAAGCCGGUGGCCCAACCCUUGUGGAGGGAGCCGUCGAACGUGGGGCUCGCGAUUGGGGUGAAGUCGUAACAAGGUAACC
rnacentral:rRNA from 1 species